rnacentral:rRNA from 1 species
CGCGGCCUAUCAGCUUGUUGGUGAGGUAACGGCUCACCAAGGCAUCGACGGGUAGCUGGUCUGAGAGGACGAUCAGCCACACUGGGACUGAGACACGGCCCAGACUCCUACGGGAGGCAGCAGUAGGGAAUCUUGCGCAAUGGGCGAAAGCCUGACGCAGCAACGCCGCGUGGGGGAUGAAUGCCUUCGGGUUGUAAACCCCUUUCAGCAGGGACGAAAAUGACGGUACCUGCAGAAGAAGCUCCGGCCAACUACGUGCCAGCAGCCGCGGUAAUACGUAGGGAGCGAGCGUUGUCCGGAAUUAUUGGGCGUAAAGAGCUCGUAGGCGGUUCAGUAAGUCGGGUGUGAAAACUCAAGGCUCAACCUUGAGACGCCACUCGAUACUGCUGUGACUUGAGUCCGGUAGAGGAGUGUGGAAUUCCUGGUGUAGCGGUGAAAUGCGCAGAUAUCAGGAGGAACACCAGCGGCGAAGGCGGCACUCUGGGCCGGUACUGACGCUGAGGAGCGAAAGCAUGGGGAGCAAACAGGAUUAGAUACCCUGGUAGUCCAUGCCGUAAACGUUGGGCACUAGGUAUGGGACCAUAUCAACGGGUUCCGUGCCGUAGCUAACGCAUUAAGUGCCCCGCCUGGGGAGUACGG